UCUUUCGUAAAAAUAGUGUAGAUUAAGUUUAGCAAAGUAGUAGUAGUCGUAGUAAACUGUAAAUAUUAUAUUAUUGUAUAAAAAAAAUAAAAGUUGUAAAAAAAAGCUACAUGUUUUUAUGUACACCUAUUUCAACCUACUGAUACAAGUAAGUGUGACCUGCAAGCAGAGAGUCGCUCACUGUUUCAAGACCACUCACUCCCUCUUUAUCUUUGAUGUUUUCAUCUUACUUUUUCUCAUUAUCUCACUUUUUCAAGGCCACAAUAUUGAUGCAUUUUCAUUCAAGGUUAAAAAGUGGGGGUAUAGUUAAUAUAUAGAAUUUAGUACAAGUUUGAUAGCAGUCAGUACUGAUUUAAUCCUCCGAGAAAUAAGAAUAUAAAAAAGUGCAUAUAUCUGUGUUAAUGUCUAAGAGUAUUCGCUGCUGGGUCAUGGAUGUAUUGAAUCGAAUCGCUCGAUGCGGACAGAAGCCCAUUUUAAAAGCUGGUGAGCUAGAGUUGAACACAAGAUUCCGCAUACAUAAUAUUAGACGCACAAAGUCUCUGUUCGGAAAUUCAGUGCUUGUUGAGUUGGACAAUUAUGCAGUGUUUCUGCCGAGAAGAAUAAGUGAUUAUUUGACUGAGGAGAAAAUUGAUGAGUUAUUACGAGAUCCACGUCCACUAUAUUUAAUAUAUUUGGGAAAAGAAGAUGCUAGAAUCCCGACAUCUGCACAUUGUUUUGAGUUUCAACGUGUUGAUGAUGAAAUAUUAGUUAACGAGAGUGCCGAAGAGUAGGAUGAAAUUAUCGGAAAAAGACUUAUGUGUGUGAAGUAAUGUGCGUUUUGUGCUAGUGAUAGUUUCUUAAAAUAAAUGAAUAAAAAUCAUGUGUCUAGACGAUGGACAAUAUGAAAAAAGUUUAUACGAGUGUUUUGAUAAAAGACUGUUAUCAUAUAAGAACUGGGUACAUUCAUACCCAUCUCCAUAGAGUUUAGCAAAAGCGGGAUUGUUUUAUAUUCAAAUAUCUGAUUGUACCCAGUGUUUUGUUUGUGGAGUAAUAAUUUCACGAUGGGAAAAAAGUGAUGAUGCGUUUAUGGAGCAUAAAAAACAUUCUCCAAAAUGUGGAUAUGUGAAAUUGCUUUCCACAGACAAAACUACAAUUCAAAAAUUCAAAUUAGUUACUAAAAAUAGCAUUGUUGUAGUUUUAUUUUUUAUAGUAUUUGUAUUCAUGUAUUAUUUAUGUGCGUCUUCUUAUGCAUAGGUAAUGUGAUGCAGACUUGUUAACCUUGAUCAGUGUCGGGCGCGCGCCAAAGGCGAGGUAAACUAAAGGUUUCAAGAGGCGUCUUGAUUUAAUUAGUUUAUAAUUAAAUAAGUGGUAGAAUAAUAUGGAGGAUUUAUAAUAGAUUUAAGGAUAUUUAAUGUACUACCUAUAAUAUUGAUGAAAUAAAGUGUUUUAAGUGA